CCUCCUUUCAAGGACGUUCCGGUCGUUCGGCAACGGAAAAUCGGAACUCAACCUUCAAAACUCAAGGCUCCGAUGAUCGAGCCGCCGUCCACGUAUCCCUUCUGAUUUUGAAAGAUCCACUCAGGCUUGAAUUUGUACCCGGGUCGGCGGAUCACGCUCAGACGGGCCUGUAGCUCAGUUGGUUAGAGCGCACGCCUGAUAAGCGUGAGGUCGGUAGUUCAAAUCUACCCAGGCCCACCAUUAUCGGGCGCGGCAACGAAGAUGGGGCCGUAGCUCAGUUGGGAGAGCGGUAGCUUUGCAAGCUACAGGUCGUCGGUUCGAUCCCGAUCGGCUCCACCAUUUCGCAAUUGCAGUGCCGCCGGAUCCACAGUAUCGGGUGUCUUUCAGGGAAUGUGAUUUAGACGCCGGCGGUGCCGGUCGUCUGUGCUCUUUGAAAUUGUGAAUAGGUUUUUGGCUUUCAGCGGUUUUGCGUCCGGACCUUGCACGGGUACGGCCGUGACGAAGCUGUUGGAAGUUCCAAUGUCUCCGAUCGUU
rnacentral:tRNA from 1 species